UAGGUACUCCCUCCGUCCGGAAAUACUUGUCAUCAAAUUAGACAAAAAAUGAUGUAUAUAGAAUUAAAACACGUCUAAAUACAUCUUUUUUUAUUCACUUUGAUGACAAGUAUUUUCGGACGGAGGGAGUAUGAG
rfam:Triticum aestivum genome assembly, contig: Triticum_aestivum_CS42_TGACv1_scaffold_223689_3B